rnacentral:lncRNA from 1 species
UAAGGAGUGGCUCAUGUGACCAGAGAGGCUGAGAAGUCCCAAGACCUGUAGCUGGCGAGCUGGACUCAGGACGCCUGACAGUCAGCUCCGUCCUGAGAAACGCAGGCUUGAAACCCUGCAAGAGGUGAGAGCUAACGUUUCAGCUGAGUCUGAAGGCAAGAAGAGACCAUGUCCCAGAUGAAGCAGUCGGGCAGGAGGAGUCCUCUCACUCGUGGUAGGGCCAACUUUUUGUUCUAUUCAGUCCUCUGAUUGGGCGAGGCCCACCCACAUUUUGGAGGGCAAACUGCUUUACCUAGUCCCCCACUGUGAAUGUUAAUCUCCCUCAGAAACACCUUUACAGAUGCACCCAGAACAAUGUUGGACCAAAUGUUGCGCAUCAUGGCCCAGCCAAGCUGAAACAUGAAACUAACCACCAAACCAACAGAACUGUGAAAAUGCCCUGGUCCUGGGUACCAGCACUUGUCUGUGAGCACGUCCUGUGUGAAGAGGGUAGAAGCUGAGUUUCAGAGGAGGGGUGUGCAAAGUGGGGGCUGGGGCCAGAAAUCGGGCAGCAGGCCUCUCACAGAAUCUCUGCCGGUGACCCUCGGUUUCAGUACAUUUUGCUAAACCUAAAAAAUACUUAGUGGAGGUGCAUAUUUGUAGGUUAAGGGAGUGCGAGGUGAGUUUUGCAGCCUGGGUGAGAUUUUUAACCUCUCUGAAAGUGGUCAUUUAGUUUUCAGUGGUUAUGAAGCAUAAAGCUUUCAUAUGACAUGAAUAUAGUUCUCAAACUUGACUGCGCAUCAGAAAGCCUUGGGCCAGGGACGUCUUGUAACAGAUGACUGGGACCAUCCGGAGCUCCUGGUAGUUCUAACAACGUCCCAGGUGAUGCUGUUGCUCUGGUCUAGACAGCAUACUUUGAGAAGCUAUAUUUUAUGUGUUGAAAACAGAUUUCCAAUGCAAUAAAAAUAAGAUGCAAAUGUUUGCAUCCGUGUGCAUUCUGUCUGCGUCCUUGAUGUCUAGAAUGCUGCUACAGAGUAGGGCUGUGCCCCAUGGUCUGUGCUUCUCUUCCUCAAGAGCUUCUGUGGUUCCGAAUGUGGACACAGGGUGGUGCCACGUGUCCACAGAGUCUGCCCCAGAACUUCCGGGUGGCCUCUGGGAAGGAUGGUGUGCACGGUGGCUGAUCUCCCUGCCCUGGGGGGCAGUAGGGACAGGUCUAGGUCCUAGAUCCAGCUCAGACCCGGAUCCACAGACAUGUGCUGAGGGUGAAGAAGGGUUCCAAGCAGGCUUCCCUCUGCCAAGCCCUGUGACAGGAGGGGACAGCUGCAGCUGCUUCCGUGAGCUAUAA